CCAGACUCCUACGGGAGGCAGCAGUGGGGAAUAUUGCGCAAUGGGGGGAACCCUGACGCAGCAACGCCGCGUGCAGGAAGAAGGUCUUCGGAUUGUAAACUGUUGUCGCAAGGGAAGAAGACAGUGACGGUACCUUGUGAGAAAGUCACGGCUAACUACGUGCCAGCAGCCGCGGUAAUACGAAGGGGGCAAGCGUUGUUCGGAAUUACUGGGCGUAAAGGGAGUGUAGGCGGUUUAGUAAGAUAGUGGUGAAAUCCCAGAGCUUAACUUUGGAAUUGCCAUUAUAACUAUUAGACUAGAAUUACAGAGAGGAUAGUGGAAUACCCAGUGUAGAGGUGAAAUUCGUAGAUAUUGGGUAGAACACCAGUGGCGAAGGCGACUAUCUGGCUGUACAUUGACGCUGAGGCUCGAAAGCAUGGGGAUCAAACAGGAUUAGAUACCCUAGUAU
rnacentral:rRNA from 1 species